AUUGAACGCUGGCGGCAGGCCUAACACAUGCAAGUCGACGAUAGGGGUGAACGGGUGAGUAACACGUGGGUAACCUGCCCAUCAGAAGGGGAUAACCCGUGGAAACAGGUGCUAAUACCGUAUAGUGAUGGCUGGACCCGCGGGGCAUUAGCUAGUAGGUGGGGUAACGGCUCACAAAGGCCACGAUGCAUAGCGGACCUGAGAGGGUGAUCAGCCACAUUGGGACUGAGACACGGCCCAAACUCCUACGGGAGGCAGCAGUAGGGAAUCUUCGGCAAUGGGCGAAAGUCUGACCGAGCCAUGCCGCGUGAGUGAAGAAGGUUUUCGGAUUGUAAAGCUCUGUUGUUAGAGAAGCGGUAUCUAACCAGAAAGCCACGGCUAACUACGUGCCAGCAGCCGCGGUAAUAC
rnacentral:rRNA from 1 species